rnacentral:rRNA from 1 species
GCAUACGGCUCAGUAACACGUGGCCAACCUACCCUUGGGACGGAGACAACCCCGGGAAACUGGGGCUAAUCCCCGAUAGGUAAGGAAUCCUGGAAUGGAUCUUUGCUGAAAAGGCGUCUAGAACAUGCUUCUUGACGUCGCCCAAGGAUGGAGCCGCGACCGAUCAGGUAGUUGGCGAGGCAACGGCUCACCAAGCCUAUAACCGGUACGGGCCGUGAGAGCGGGAGCCCGGAGAUGGGCACUGAGACAAGGGCCCAGGCCCUACGGGGCGCAGCAGUUGCGAAAACUCCACAAUGCACGAAAGUGCGAUGGGGCUACCCCGAGUGCCGUCCGCUGAGGACGGCUUUUCCACGGUGUAAGGAGCCGUGGGAAUAAGGAGAGGGCAAGACUGGUGUCAGCCGCCGCGGUAAUACCAGCUCUCCGAGUGGUGAGGACGAUUAUUGGGCUUAAAGCGUUCGUAGCCGGCUUAACAAGUCUUCCGUUAAAUCCAACGAUCUAAUCGUUGGGCCGCGGAAGAUACUGUUGGGCUAGGAGGCGGGAGAAGCCGACGGUAUUCUCGGGGUAGGGGUGAAAUCCUGUAAUCCCGGGAGGACCACCAGUGGCGAAGGCGGUCGGCUAGAACGCGCUCGACGGUGAGGGACGAAAGCUGGGGGAGCGAACCGGAUUAGAAACCCGGAUAGUCCCAGCUGUAAACGAUGCGGGCUAGGUGUUGGGGUGGCCACGAGCCACCUCAGUGCCGCAUGGAAGCAAUUAAGCCCGCCGCCUGGNGAGUACGGCCGCAAGGCUGAAACUUAAAGGAA